ACGUAGGUGGCAAGCGUUGUCCGGAAUUACUGGGCGUAAAGGGCGUGUAGGCGGGGGGACAAGUCAGAUGUGAAAUACCGCGGCUUAACUGCGGGGGUGCAUCUGAAACUGUUCUUCUUGAGUGUCGGAGAGGAAAGUGGAAUUCCCAGUGUAGCGGUGAAAUGCGUAGAGAUUGGGAGGAACACCAGUGGCGAAGGCGGCUUUCUGGACGAUAACUGACGCUGAGGCGCGAAAGCGUGGGGAGCAAACAGGAUUAGAUACCCUGGUAGUCCACGCUGUAAACGAUGGAUACUAGGUGUAGGAGGUAUCGACCCCUUCUGUGCCGGAGUUAACACAAUAAGUAUCCCGCCUGGGGAGUACGGCCGCAAGGCUGAAACUCAAAGGAAUUGACGGGGGCCCGCACAAGCAGUGGAGUAUGUGGUUUAAUUCGAAGCAACGCGAAGAACCUUACCAGGGCUUGACAUCCCUCUGACUGGCAUAGAGAUAUGCCUUCCCUUCGGGGCAGAGGAGACAGGUGGUGCAUGGUU
rnacentral:rRNA from 1 species